rnacentral:ncRNA from 1 species
GCAGGGAGCGAACAAACCAAAAAAGAGUGAGCCGGCAGCGCACAGUGCGCGGCCGG